GAUUUCUGGUCUGAAGCCUCGAGCCGGCCACGGUUUCGUGUGUUAGUGCGCGUGGCUCAUGCCAUCCUUCCAUUCGCUGCUCACCUUUCUUCAUUGAUGGGUGGGUGAGGGUGGAUCUUUUACUUUGAAAAAAUUAGAGUGUUUCAAGCAGGCUUUAUGCUAUGAAUACAUUAGCAUGGAAUAAUAAUUUAGGACUUCGGUUCUAUUUUGUUGGUUUCUAGGACUGAAGUAAUGAUUGAUAGGGAUAGUUGGGGGUGCUAGUAUUCAGCGGCCAGAGGUGAAAUUCUCGGAUUCGCUGAAGACUAACUUAUGCGAAAGCAUU
rnacentral:rRNA from 2 species